AUUUUACAAGCACUGAAAAUGAAACAAGAGCUUAGUGUACAAACCUGUUACAAUUUGGGGGAAUAUUUGGCUUAUAUAAUUUAAAACAUAUCAUUUACCAUGGAAGCAAUCCUAUUGAUAAAGAUUGUCAAUAGGACACAGAGCACUGAAAAAAAUGUUAAUUUUAAAGUUAAAGAUGUGAUUCUUAAUACAUAUCACUGAAUUGAAUUUCACUUUGUCAAAACUCAUGCCUUAAGCUUGCUUCUUUAGAUAAAAUAACUUGUUGGCAUCUGGUUUUGGAACCUAAACAAAAAUGAUAAUGCACAGAAAUAUUCAUGGUCUCUUCGACAAAUGACACCCAGCCACAAGCCUAGCCAUUC
rnacentral:lncRNA from 1 species